GGCUCUUCUUUCUCAGGAAGGUGAAGUGGACGUGACUCUCUUCUCAGCUGCUGGUGAACUUCUACAGAGCCUCCAUGGAGAGCAUCCUGUGACUCAGUGUGACGGUGUGAUAUGGCAGCUGCACAGCACAGGACAAGAGGAACUAGCCCUGGGGG